rfam:Canis lupus familiaris cont3.11638, whole genome shotgun sequence.
CCCCCCCCUUUUUUUUCAGAGGGUUGCGAACCCGCGAGGGGAUGAGGCCUGGUCUUGUGGAAACUGAACUUAGCUUCGCGGGCCGACAGCUCUGGCCUAGGGUAGUGUGUAAU